ACUGCUUUAUAGGAGGCACUUAAUAUGCAAAAUAGGCUCCUUCUGCCCAAAGUGGAGUAAACGUUUUAGUGUGGUGGUUCAGUAUUUAUUUCCUGGUGUCCAGUGGCUCUGUCAUGGUGAUAAAAAGAGUGGGCAAGGAAAAGAUGCAGUCCGCUCCAUUUCUGGCUGCGUCCCCUGCCAUGUGGAUGGUGUGCGGGGUGAGUUAGAUAAGGGAGGGGUCAGAGCACUUAACUUGCCGGAGCCAAGAAAUCGCUGGUACUUGAUGGCUGUUUCAGAGAAGGAAACAACAUUCCUCUGAUGCUAACUGGUGCUUCUGAGAGCAAAAUGUCAGGGAGGAGAGAAGCAUGGCCUCUCGAGACAAACCCAGGCUGCUAAGAAUGUAAGCUCUGGUCUCACUUUGCGUUCCAGCCAAACACCUAAGUGCUCCUUUCUAUGACCAAAGGUGAUAUACUUCAUCCCUCUCACAGAGCCCUUUGCUAUGACUCUGAAGGACAAAACAGCUCUGCAACAGCAAAAAUGUUCCUUGAAGAUUAUGAGCCUGUGAUUUUGCAGAGUGUCUCAGAUUGGUUUGUUUGAAGUUUCUGCGUGGUCCAAUUUUGGCAGGAAUAUCAACAAAGUGAAGCUGUUUUCUCCUCACUGCAUCCCGUCAGGACAAUUCUUCACUGAUUAAAAUCUGGUUACAAAACAAGGGACCUAGAGAGAUGUUCACUUCACCACUUCUCUACAGAUGCCUCCUGCUGCUUCCAACUUUUCUCCUUUAAGGCAGGGUGAAUCCAAAUCAUGGUCUUAGCCCUGAAGGAGGCACCAAAGCAGUUUCGUUGCCCUGUGAAAAGCUUCUAGAGGAGCUCAUCUGAAUGCUUGAAGAAACCAGCCGCCCUUGCAAUUACCUAAAAGGAAUUGAGUCAUUUUAACAAGACAUUAUUUCUGCCAUCCACGGUCACAAUCAUCUCUUUGAAAAAUAAAUACUCUUGG
rnacentral:lncRNA from 1 species